rnacentral:ncRNA from 1 species
UCGAGCCGUAUGAGGGGAAACUCUCACGUACAGUUUUUUUAUUUUUUCUUUUUUUUGGGGGGCCGACAGGGUCCCCCCCACUGACUUGGCCCGGGCCAAAGUGAAGUGGUGGGCCUACCCAUCC